GACGAACGCUGGCGGCGUGCUUAACACAUGCAAGUGGAGCGACGAACCAGGGCUUCGGCCCUGGGGCAAAGCCGCGAACGGGUGAGUAACACGUGGGUAACCUGCCCCGAUGACCGGGACAACCCGAGGAAACUCGGGCUAAUACCGGAUGUGGUCACACCACACAAGUGAUGUGACUAAGGGUAGCUUCGGCCUCCGCAUCGGGAUGGGCCCGCGGCCCAUUAGCUUGUUGGUGAGGUAACGGCUCACCAAGGCCACGAUGGGUAGCUGGUCUGAGAGGACGAUCAGCCACACUGGGACUGAGACACGGCCCAGACUCCUACGGGAGGCAGCAGUGGGGAAUCUUGCGCAAUGCGCGAAAGCGUGACGCAGCAACGCCGCGUGGGGGAAGAAGGCCUUCGGGUUGUAAACCCCUUUCAGGAGGGACGAAGCCGGGUCGGUGAAUAGCCGGUCCCGGUGACGGUACCUCCACAAGAAGCCCCGGCUAACUACGUGCCAGCCGCCGCCGUAAGAC
rnacentral:rRNA from 1 species